ensembl:lncRNA
GCAGACAGGCUGAGUUUCGUGUGGCUGCAUGUGUGUUGAUCUGAUCUGAUGUCUGCGGGGAAACAAGAGCACGGCCGUGUCGUGAUAACCUAGAGCCACGUCCAGUGCUGAUGAAGACUGUGCUAAAGUACCCGCUCUGACCAGAUCACUAUCAUACGGCCAGGCCAGACGGAAAGGUCGUGGCCUGACCUAAAUGACGGGGCACAGGAAGCAAUUACGAUAAGCUUUUAAAUGCAAUUAUUUGUGUAUUUCAUGUGUCAGUUUCAGAGGGAGAGCAGAGGCGGGUGACGUCACGUGACCUGUGUCAAACUCACAACACGAGUUCAGAAGACGUUCUGUGUGAUGUGCAGAGCUGCUGAGGAAUUCAUGUGAAGCUGUUUGGACUCUCAUUCUGACGGCACCCAUUCACUCCAGAGGAUUCAUUAGUGAGCAAGUGAAGGAAUACUACAUUUCUCCAGAUAUGAUGAAGAAACAAACUCAUCUACAUUUUUGGAUGGCCUGAAUGGACAUUUUUAAUGUGGAUCUUGAUAAUGGAGAUGAGUGAGUGCUGUGGAGCUGUCAGGGGAAUGAGAUCAGACACACCUGCUGUGAAUUGUCAAGCGAUGCCCUUGAGCCUCACUAUUCGUAUUUUUCUUUAUUCCAAGGCUGCUUCUUCAUGCUGUGAAGAAAGAGAGAAUAAACUCGGUCACGGUGAGUGGGUUGCAGUUCUGAAGCUCAGCUUUUGGAAACACUACACAUCCAUGGAGACGUUGGUUGCUUGAGAUGUUUGGGAUGGUCUGAACAACAAACAUAAUUCCAUGCAAUAGAAUCACCUAUUAUGUUUUCAUACCACAUUAGCAGUCAGGAGUUUAGACACACCUUGUCAUUUCUUAUGAUAAUUAUUAUCAGUAUUUUGAAAUAAUGAACCCCAC